rnacentral:lncRNA from 1 species
CUUUCUGCAAUUUCGAGUUCAGUUGUCAAUCAGCAUGAAUAUGCAAUUUUGGUUGAUAGAUGGCAUUCUACAAUUUCAGUUUAGUCGUCAAUGAGCAAGAACUUGGGAGUUUUGGUUGAUAGAUGGCAUCCGCGACUCGCUCUUUUUCUCCUUCAUCAUUCUAGGUAGGAAUAUCCAUCCUUUCUUCCGUGACGGUUCAAUUGCGUUUCCGCCAUCUUGGUCAGGAACAGUGCCAUCAGCCCAUCACAGCGCAAUCACGUGAUAUUCGGUCGGUACUUUUCAUCAAAUCUUGCGAGUUCGUAUAUUUCUCAAUCAUGGAACCCAUUUUGCGUGUGUACUAAUGACUCGGUCUCCGUUGGAAUUAUGAACGCAUGAGGUCACAGAAGAGAUCCAACAUUUAUAAUAAUAUAAAAACUUCGAACUGAUUAGUCCUCAGCUUCCAACAAACACUGGAAUAAGCAGUACAACUGUUUGAUAUUCAGCCACAUGAUGGGAUGAAGUUUUGUAGAAGUGAUCAUCUAUUUGAAUGAAAGGCCAAUAUAAUUCAAAGGAAAAGCUGAAACUUUGAAAAAAAAAAAUAAUAAUAAUGUAAGUAGUCAAAGUUAGCUGUGGGUGUUGCAAUUGAUGGAGUCAGUGCUUUAAAUCAAAAUAGCUAUAUUAUCUUAUUUUAAUGCUGAAGAUGAGCAUAGGUUAAUACUUAAUUUGGACUUGUACAUUUGAACUAAAUUGAAAGGCUCUGGACACCAAAAAAAAAUCAAAUGGUGAAAUUUCAGCAUGAAGCUGUGAAGCAAGGUAUGGAAGAUUACUAUACCUUGCAGUGAAGUGUUAGCUGCCACCUAUAAAAUGUUGGAUGUUUCUACCUGCCAGAGAAUUUUUUAACUAAUAAUAUUUCAAUUUCUUCUUAAUCAUGGAUUAUUUUUUUAGUUGGAAGUUGGAAUUAGUCUUGUGUUAAUUAUCUUAUCAAGCUCUUAAUAUCAAAGAAGAAGCUGACAUGUU